CUGACCUCAUGAUGGUUAAUGGAAUGUUCUCUCUUUUUCCAUCCUUCACAGUUAUUUGUAGAUGUUACCUGUUUCUGGUAAGAUACACAUACUUCCCUGCUGAAGCAUUUGGGAUUUCCCAGGGGAACGAUUUUUGAUCACUAUUCAACGUCAUCAUGAAGAGCCUUGCACAUUUAUAACUUUCUAUUACUCUUGUUUUGUAUCUACAUGGUGAAUCUCCUCUACAAGCACCGCCAGAGAGCCCAGUAUGUUCACAGCCCCAGCCUGUCUUCCCAGACAUCUCCGGAAAUCAAAGCCACCCACAGUAUUCUUUUGCUGAUGAGAACUACCGUUUCUCAAAGAACAUUCAGUGGAUGAUCUCGCACCCACGACUUCCUUCUGCAACAGAGAAGCUCCUCAAUGAUGAACACAAAUGGAAAAUGCCACGUGGCUAUUAAACACUUCAGAUGUGGCUAGUAUAAUUGAGAUGGACUGUAAAUUAAAAAUAUAAACAUUUUGAAUUCUUACAAUGAAUGAGUAUAUACAUGUCAAAUUAAUAAUUUUCAUAUUGAUUACUUGCUUACAUUAUAAGAAUUUGAAUUAAACCAAAUACAUUAAA
rnacentral:lncRNA from 1 species